UGAGGAGAGGUGGUUCUUCUGCAAACUAGUGCGUCAUUUUUUUUUGUUUUGUGUCAACGGCCGCGUAGAUUUUCUUCGACUGAUUUUUGAUUGCACUGAAUCGAGGAAGGACAUAUAGGCUAAUACAAUAAUAUAAUGACAUUUUUAUAUACCGUUUUAUGUGUUGCCAUUAUAGUAUUUUAAUAUUAUAAUGUUGCAACGGGGUUGAUUUGAAACCUCAAUAAAGACAAAUGACUAACCACAACCAUAAUAUCAACCAGUGCGCUUGCUACAGACAUUGCCAGCCACAUCAUAGCACAAAAUAAUAAUAAUUAAAAAAAAAAAAACAUAUCCGUGUUUUAUCUAUGAUUGAAACGGAUAAAUAGAUCUCGCACACAUUUUGAAUACUUAUUUUCCUAUUCGUUUAUUGUCAGCGACCAAAAUGGCCAUUUUAUUGCAUUCUGGGGGAACGCAGUGGGCGUCCGCUUUGAAAUUAUCCUGUGUUGCAAUGGUGAUGUUUUUGGCCUGUCCAGUGACUUCCAUGGAUGUGCUGGUGCAACAACAGAUCAACGCUCUCAACGGAACUGAUGUCAGAAUCCCGUGUGCAUUCACCUCAUGCUACAAGCUGGACCCCAAGCAUUUUGCCAUGAACUGGACCUAUCAGGAGACACUCAACAGCACAGAGGAGAUGUUCAUGACCUAUAAGAACAGGAUAACACCCCUGAAGCCAAGCCGAUUUGGAGAGCGAGCUAUUUUUUCUGGAAACCUAGAUAAGAAUGACCUCAGCAUCACUAUCUUAGAUGUGCAGUUGUCAGACGAUGGAAUCUACAAUUGCUAUGUGCGCAACCCUCCAGAUCGCAUUCAGGGUCACGGCACCAUCCAGUUCAACGUCUUGACUGAAUUGCCACCACCAAGGGAUUCGACCAUCGCUGUCGCCAUCGGGGCAUCAGUGGGGGGCAUUCUUGCUUUGCUCAUUCUGUCCAUGGUAGUGGUGAAGUGUAUUCGUAGACAUAAGCACCAGGAGCUGAUCUCAGACGAGCAGAAGAUGGAAGAAGAGGGCAAAGUAGAUGGAGAAGGAGGAACAGAAGAAGCAACAAAACAGCCCUAACCCGCCAUCUUAGCCAGGGAGGCCUAACGUAGUGUGGAGCUCCAUCCUUCACUUUCUGAAAUUUAUGCCUCCUGCCUGAAGAUAUUUAAAACGUGUUCUACUCUUCGUCCUGUAACGUCUCAUUCAACAUUCCUCGGUUUUCUUGUGUAGCGACCAGACAUGUCAUGUUAGGAAGAUCUCUGCCACAGUGCCAUGACGUCCAAUCACUGGUGAGAAAUCACAAAGGGUUUUAUACUGCCUCGUCCACUCAAAAUGGCAGGCUAAUGUGAUAACAGUGUCCUACAGAACUGUUUAUUUGGUCAGUAUCUCUUUUUUCUUCAACUACUGCCACUAUUAGCACUACAAAUAUUAGCCAUCCAGUAUUUCUGCUAAGAAUUUUCUAAA